GGUCAAGUUAUUAAGGGUGCAGGGCGGAUGCCUUGGCACCGGGAGCCGAUGAAGGACGUGAUAAGCUGCGAUAAGCUAUGGGGAGUUGCACGUAAACUUUGAUCCAUAGAUUUCCGAAUGAGGAAACUCACCAUGAGUAAUGUCAUGGUAUCUUCGAGUGAAUACAUAGCUCGUUGAGGGGAACUCGGGGAACUGAAACAUCUAAGNNCCCAAACCUAAGAAGUUCGCUUCUUAGGGGUUGCGGACAUAUCAUCAGGAAGAGGUUAUUACAGACGAAGAGUUUUGGAAAGCUCCGCCACAGAAGGUAACAGCCCUGUAGUCGAAGUGAGAAGACUUCCGAUAUGAUCCAGAGUACCACGGGACACGUGAAACCCCGUGGGAAGCAGGAGGGA
rnacentral:rRNA from 1 species